UACGGAGGGUGCAAGCGUUAAUCGGAAUUACUGGGCGUAAAGCGCACGCAGGCGGUCUGUCAAGUCGGAUGUGAAAUCCCCGGGCUCAACCUGGGAACUGCAUUCGAAACUGGCAGGCUGGAGUCUCGUAGAGGGAGGUAGAAUUCCAGGUGUAGCGGUGAAAUGCGUAGAGAUCUGGAGGAAUACCGGUGGCGAAGGCGGCCUCCUGGACGAAGACUGACGCUCAGGUGCGAAAGCGUGGGGAGCAAACAGG
rnacentral:rRNA from 1 species